rnacentral:lncRNA from 1 species
AUUACAUUACAUGGCCCAUAAGAUAGAUCCUAGACAAAAACUAAGGAAAGGACAGACUACACUGGAUCUAAUAGAUAUCAUGGCUGGAUGGAUCCGAAUCUGAUGAAUCAGAGUGGGGUGAGGAGAUGAAGGAUCAUGUCCACGAGCUUGACCUCGACUGCAUCUGCCUCUGCCAUGGGUAGAGGUGCCAGCACGAGUAGAGGGG